rnacentral:rRNA from 1 species
CCUACGGUGUGCUGCAGUGGGGAAUUUUGGACAAUGGGGGCAACCCUGAUCCAGCCAUUCCGCGUGAGUGAAGAAGGCCUUCGGGUUGUAAAGCUCUUUUGUCCGGAGCGAAACGGGCGGCCCUAAUACGGUCGUCUACUGACGGUACCGGAAGAAUAAGCACCGGCUAACUACGUGCCAGCAGCCGCGGUAAUACGUAGGGUGCGAGCGGUAGUCGGAAGUGCUGGGGGUAAAUCGUGCGCCAGAGGUUAAAUCCCCGGGCUCAACCUGGGAAUGGCAUUUGGGACUGCAAGGCUGGAGUGUGGCAGAGGGGACUAGAAUUCCUGGUGUAGCAGUGAAAUGCGUAGAGAUCAGGAGGAAUACCGAUGGCGAAGGCAGGUCCCUGGGUUAACACUGACGCUCAUGCACGAAAGCGUGGGGAGCAAACAGGAUUAGAUACCCGAGUAGUC